ensembl:lncRNA KRTAP5-AS1 KRTAP5-1/KRTAP5-2 antisense RNA 1
AGACCCAGGCGCGGCGUUUUACCUGCAGCGGCUGUGCUCGCCCCGCCGCGACCCCCGCAGGACGGAGCCGGAUCCCCCUGCACUCGGGCGGACCUGGGACCCUCAGAGGCGAGCCGGCUGCCUCGGGUCACACAUCCGCGAACUCCGGGGGCGGGCUCCCCAGGACGCCGCCGACCCCCCACGACCCCCAGCCCUCCCGCUUCCGUGGAAAGCCGCCCCGACGACCCCUGUGCGGGCUGUUGAGGGGCCGCACCCCGCCGACCGCUGUGGGAACACCUCCGCGCGUGCGGCGGGGACGCGGCGAGUCCGGGGCAGGAAGAACGCACGGAUGGAGACAACAGGAAGGAAAGAGACCUUCCUGGUCACACUUGGGCCACAGGAGAACAGGCAGCGGCCCAGGAGGAUCCAGGGUCCUGAUGGUGGUUGAGAAGCUGGUUCUUAGUGAUCACUCAGAAACGUCGGCCUGGCCUUGUGGGGUCAGACCUUGCAUCUCAGUCAGCCCAGGGAGAAGAAGAAGAUGGUCCACACCCAAGUGCAGGGAACAUCGUGGCAGUCGGCUGGGUGCCUGCGUCCAGGCGAGGACACCUCCCGCAUCAGGGAAACACACGUUUCUGGAGUGAGGAGGCUGAAGGCAGGGCCCAGAGGAGAGCUGAGCCAUGGAAGGAGGUGUGUGCAUGGAUGGUGAGCUAGAGCAGGUGCAGGUGCCUCAGGGAGGAUGUGUGGGACGAACUGACUCAGGGAACCAUAAGAAAUGCUUUCACCAAACAGGAGAAACCUGAAGGUCUGGGUCCAGAGCCUCAGAUCUUACACUGGCAGCACACAGGGACACAACAGUUGGACUGGCAGCAACAGGGCUUGCAGCAGCUGGACUGGCAGCACACGGGGACACAGCAGCUGGACUGGCAGCAGCAGGGCUUGCAGCAGCUGGACUGGCAGCAGGAUGAUCCACAGCCUGAGGAGCAGCAACAGGGCUUACAACAGCUGGACUGGGAGCAGCCACAAGAACCACAGCCCCCCUUGGAACCCCCACAGGAGCCACAGCCCCCCUUGGAGCCCCCACAGGAGCCACAGCCCCCCUUGGAGCCCCCACAGGAGCCACAGCUGGUGCAGGAACAGGCUGGCACCCAGGAGCACACGGGCUUGCAGCAGCAGACAGGCACAUAACAUCUGGAGCCACAUCCCCCACAGCUGGAGCUGCAGCCCCCACAGCCAGAGCCACAGCCCCCACGGCCGGAGCCACAGCCCCCACAGCCAGAGCCACAACCCCCACAGCUGGAGCCACAGCCCCCACAGCCGGAGCCACAGCCUCUGGAGCAGCCACAGCAGCCCAUGGUUCUGGUGGAUUGAGGGUGGAGCAGGUAGAGGAGCAGGUGAGAGGGAGGUGCAGGUGUGGAGCUCCCUGAGCCUGGGCUCUUUAUAUACCUGUCCAGAUGUCAGGCAUGACACAGGGUCCCUUUCUUGUGACUGUUUACACUAUUUUUCCAGAGCUCUAUUUUUUUCCUCUUUGCUAGUGACUUCCUUCUGGCUCAGUUGAGCAUCUACUUUCUUUGUUUUCUAAAUUUGUCUUUUUCCCCAUUUGUUUUGGCCCCUACAAUUAAAACCUCAGCUCCAGGCUGUCUGGUUCUUCCUGCAAAGCUCCAGGGUGCUGGUCACCUGCUCUCUGCUGACCACAUGUGACCAAUGGGCAACAGCCUCUGCCCACGUGCUCUCAUCUUUCCUGUGUUGACUCCCUCAAUAAUAUUAAUUUUACAUUUUUAGAUUUCAAAAUUAUCCACGAUCUUUAUACUCAUGCCAGUCUCAGCUUUCCGGGUGUGUUAGACCAUUCUUUGCAUUGCUCUAAAGAAAUACUUGAGGCUGGGUAAUUUAUAAAGGAAAGAGGUUAGAAUGGCUCAUGGUUCUGCAGGCUGCACAAGCAUGGCACCCACCUCUGCUCAGCUUCUGGGGAGGCCCUCAGGGAGUUUUCCUCACGGUGGAAGGCGAAGCAGGAACAGGCACACCACAUGGUGAGAGUGGGAGCAAGGGGUGAGGAGGAGCCACACACUUGUGAACAACCAGAUCUGAGUGAACACACUCAUCGCCAAGGGGGUGGCACUAAGUCACUCAUGAGGGAUCCACCCCCAUGACCCAGACACCUCCCUGCAGGCCCCUCCUUCAACACUGGCCAACAACUAUAUGAAAAAAUGCUCCACAUCACUAACUAUUCGGGGAAUGUAAAUCGAAACCACCACGAGAUACCAUCUCAUAUCAGUCAGAAUGGCUUUUGAU